CAGCAGCCGCGGUAAUACGUAGGUGGCAAGCGUUGUCCGGAAUUAUUGGGCGUAAAGGGCUCGCAGGCGGUUCCUUAAGUCUGAUGUGAAAGCCCCCGGCUCAACCGGGGAGGGUCAUUGGAAACUGGGAAACUUGAGUGCAGAAGAGGAGAGUGGAAUUCCACGUGUAGCGGUGAAAUGCGUAGAGAUGUGGAGGAACACCAGUGGCGAAGGCGACUCUCUGGUCUGUAACUGACGCUGAGGAGCGAAAGCGUGGGGAGCGAACAGGAUUAGAUACCCCUGUAGUCCCUGUCUCUUAUAC
rnacentral:rRNA from 1 species